rnacentral:lncRNA from 1 species
UUUAUUCAUGAUCUUCUGGGAGUCUAACUUUGUUCUUAGUGAAAAAUAUAUUUAUUUUCUGCUUUUUAGAGUUAAUAUACAUUUUGAUGAUCCCGGGUGUUUAGUGGGUGAAGAUUUAUUUCCUUUUUAUUUUAAUCCUUAAGUUCUUGGGAUUUAGUGUUUCUAUUAGGUUACUACGCCACUUAAGGAUUUCUAACUUUAUGUUUAACUGGGGUAGGAGGGUAAGGUUAUCAGGUUUCCUUGAAGAGUUGGGCUUAUUUAUGGUUGUGAACUUGGGUGACUACUUCCUGUUGAAAAUUUCGUAUGAUGAUUCUUUUGGAUAUCUAGGGGCGGGAUAUUCCUCCUAAGGAGUAGUGGUAGUUAUGUUUUCCUUGUUUGGGGAUCCUUUUAAUGGUUAAGGUGGUCCUUUACAUUUCUAUCGAGAAACUUGCAUGUCUUCUACCUUUUACUUCCAGUACUUAGUUUUCGGAGUUUUCUUAUAGUUAGAUUUAUAGUUCUGGGUCUAUUGUUGGUUUACCUUGGGGUUUUCCAGCUAUAUUUAUCUUGGGUAUGUUUGGUGUAGAUAAAUGUUUCUUGCUUGUGCCUUAUUUCUUGGUUUCCUAGUAUCCUUAUUUUGAGUAGUAUCUUUGUAAUGUUUCUUUUUAGGGGGAGCGCCAUCUUAAAGUGUUUCUUUAUUUGAAGGGCUUGGUAUGAUGAUUUUUCUUGAUAAUUUUUUGUCAUUUCACCUUUUAACUAGGCUCCUUACUAUUUUCAUCAUAUGGAAUUGGAAUUGUAACUUUGUUCACUAAAGUGGAUUUUUAACCUUAUUAUUUUGUUCAUAAUAUUAUAGCUAUUAGGGUUAUAUAAUUUCAAGAGUGGAUAGCAUAGAAAGAAGAAGCUCGUGGAGAUUUAUUCCUUAUAAGAGCAUUACAUCAAGCACCUUACAUAUUGGAAGUAUACUACACUUUAGACAACUUCCAAUUUUCUAAUUUACAAGCAAACUACCAUACAAUCUAUAAUACAAGAGAAAGAGAAAAUCUUAUCCUAUACAAUAAUUCUAGUUUUGUCGUACACUAUUUAUACUUGUGUACAUAUGUGUCUAGUAU